CAAUUUCAUACUUCAUAGUCAACUUAAAUAAGUUCUCUUUUUUUCUGCUCUCACCAAUGUCACUUUCUCCUUCUACAAUUUCAGCAUUACAUUUUCAGGGUAUCUCCAUGGUGAGGCGAGAUUCCGCAUAAUCACCGUAGAAUAUCCCACGUGGCUACCUUGACUCAACCCAGUGAGCUUAUCAAAAUCCCAUCGCAUGCUCCACCUAUAUAAAUAUAUACACACAUAUUCUGUAACCCUUCUUUCGACAAUUCUCUCUCUGAAAAAAUAUUCGUUCUUUGUGUAUAGAUCAUAUCGAAACGGUGGUGCAAAUUCAAAAACCCUAUUUUCUUGAAUCCCAUUUCUUGAAUUACUCAAAUAUUGCUCUCGUUUUGCUUCAUUUGAAUGGUUAUGAGAUUUUUGUUGAUAGGAAGAGAGUGUUUCUUUGUUGAAGAAAUUCAGGAUUCAAUUUUUUAUGGAGGAACCAAUGAGAAUAAGGUAUGGAAUAGGCUACGCUUUGGCUCCCAAGAAACAAGCCAGUUUCGUUCAGGUUUCUCUCGUAAAUCUUGCUAAAGAGAGAGGUAUCGAUCUCAUCAAGAUCGACCUCGAAAAGCCCUUAAUCGAUCAGGGCCCUUUUGAUUGCAUUCUUCACAAAAUUUACAGUCCCAGUUGGAAACAACAGUUAUCCGACUAUGCGGUAAAGAAUCCUAAUGUCCCUAUUAUUGAUUCCCCCAAUGCCAUUGAGAGGCUGCACAACAGAAUUUCCAUGCUUGAGGUGGUGACCGAGAUAAAUGUUGACUGUGAGACAGGGUCCUUUGGGAUUCCAAAGCAGAUUGUAAUUUAUGAUGCGAAAGCUGCGAAGGAAUUGAAUCUUGAGGCCCAGGGCUUGAAGUUUCCAUUGAUAGUGAAGCCCUUGGUGGCGGAUGGUAGCGCAAAGUCGCACAAGAUGUCCUUAGUUUUUAACAAGGUUGGGUUGAGUGAACUGAAGCCGCCGGUUGUCUUACAGGAGUUUGUUAACCAUGGGGGCGUGAUCUUUAAGGUGUAUGUUGUGGGGGAGUACGUCAAGUGUGUAAAGAGAAAGUCUCUACCAGAUGUGAAUGAGGAGAAUUUGGGAAAUUCUGAGGGGUCACUGUCGUUCUCACAAGUCUCGAAUUUGAAUAGUGUGGAGAGGGCUGAUGACAAGUAUUAUUCGAUGAUGGACUUGGAAGAUGAAAAGACAGAGUUGCCUCCGAUGAGCUUCUUGGUGAAUAUUGCUAGUGGGUUGAGGGCUGCAAUGGGGUUGCAUUUGUUUAACUUUGACUUGAUUAGGGAUUCACAGAUUGGGAAUAGGUACCUUGUGAUAGACAUUAACUAUUUUCCUGGCUAUGCGAAGAUGCCCUGCUACGAGCGCGUUUUGACAGAUUUUUUCUGGGAUAUUUUGAACAAUAAUGAUGAUCUGAAUUUGGAAAGUUUAAAUAUGGGUACUUGCCAGAUGGAAGUUAGAAAGUUGGUUAGUAAUAGUGACUGUAACGAGGAUGAUGAAGCAACAGAUCUUCCUGUAUCUCCAAUAAAGCGGGAAGAAAAAGAGAACGCGUGUUGAAGGGAUACAGUGUCACGUGGCUAGUGGAGGGCUUGUUGGCUGACACAUUGUUCGAUGGAAUUUUCUUUCUGUCGGUUGAUGGCCUUGACGCGAGCCAUAUAUCACUUCGUUUAGAUGGUAGAGUUAGUACAGUGGUUAAUAAUUAGGUUUCUUUGCUUUGGUUCUGCUGCAAUGGGCAUUAAUGGAGUGCUCUGUGUUGAUCAUGUACAUUCAAGUUGUUGCGUUGAGGAUAGGUACUUUUCAAUGGAGAUUAUAGGUAUUUCUCAAAUACUAUGAAGUCUUUAGGAAUGUUAAGUUUUACUUCAAGGAAAAUGUAUUUCCUGGCUUAGUAAACCUUUCUGAUGUUUGGCUUCAGCUACUUCAAACAAUGAAUUGUGCCUUUCUGUCGAUGAUGUUUCCUUUGGUUCUGCCUUCAUUAUGUGUGGUCAAUGGGUUCUCAUCAUUCCUGCUGUUUUAAGAUUGCUCUUACUCCAUGCUUAAACUGAGGUUUGUUGCCUAUUAUUCAUAUAAAAAUGGUACUUGUGAACAUACUAAUAUAUAAAACACCAAUUCAUUUGAGAGAUACUUAGCCUCCAUUUGGGAAGAAUUUAUAAGCUUUAAUUUAUAAAUAGAAAGAAACGAGCCGUGUCCAAGUGGACAGUACUUGUGGUCCAACUGAAAUGUGUGAACAGUACUCUUUGUACAACGAAAUGAACCAUAUUUUUCUUCCAAAGGAAGUUAAUUUUGUACAAGGCUAUUUCAUUGAGGCACGUCUAUUCGUUGGAAAAUUUUCAAUUGUGAACUUUCUGCCUGUUGACAGAACUAUCUCCUGUUGCAUUUUCCCUCGCAUUUAAAACUUUAAGAUUUAAUCAAACAUGGUCUUCACUUGAAAACAGGUUAAUGAAUAUGUUACAACUAAUCAGAUAAAUAAUCUGGUAUGUUUUAAGUAUGUGUAACCUUGGAGAAAAUAUGUAGUGCAUAGUAAAGAAAAGCAUGUGUCAUGAGAGUGCACUUAAUUCUAUUGUGCAGAUUGAAGGCUGCUGAAGUUCGGCGAUGCUCGUGUCAGAGUUAGACAUUUUGUUUUGCAUGAUGACUACCCAAGUGCUAGUAGUGAACCAAAAUUUCAGAUUAUGAUGAUUAAAAGUUAAUUUUUUCAUUUCUGAGCUUGAUUAUAUUUAUUUUGAUCUCGAUUGCAAGGUUUUACAGCAUAUGCAGUAACUACCUUAUUUAACCUAUCCCUAGCCUGUCUAAAUGAGCUUCUUUAUUGAGUUCUACUGUGGUCCAUAGGUUUGGAUGAACUAAAGUGAGAGGGUCUACAUUCCGUUGGAUGUGAUUAUUAUAGGAGACCAAUAAAUUAAUUGAAACAGUGUGUGUGUAGUUGUAGGUAUGCCACACAAAUUGAACUCAACUGCUGGUGUUAUAGUUCUGAGAUCUGUGAUGCAUUCCCACAUUCUAUCUAUUGUACGGUACCUGCGUUCAUUUCUUUACUUCUUCCGUUACCUAUGGUUCACCUUUGCCUCAAAUCUGCAGAUGUCCUAGAUUAUAGGCUUUUGUAUACACAUAUAUGCCUGAAAAUAUUUUAAACAUCGUUCUCCUAAAAUUGGUUGCCUUGAACAUAUAGGUGUAACUUUAACAUGCUUUCCAUGCACAUAACCAAACCCGUAGCCCCUUCCAUCAUCAUCAUUUUCCUAUUCCUAGUAGCAUUGAAAACUUGUUAUCAUGUCUGCCUUAUGUAAAUUGGAUCGAAUGGGGCCAUAAUGCAUUGAUAUACUGAUGGGCUUGUUCUAUAAUGGGUUUCAAGAACAACAGUCUUUGGUUCUUGGACAGAGCAAGCCAUUUUGACCUACUUAUUAUUUCAAUGGUAGGCAGGAUUCAAAGUCGAUGUCUCUGGGUUCUAUGGUGAUUCAUAGGAAGGUUUAGAUUGGAUCUGUGCUGUGGAUGAAGUACUGGAUUUCAAAAAUAUUCGAGACUCUUGAUGAGUGUCUAUCGAGGCUACUCGGUUAUUCGGUAGGGUAACAAAAAUUUGGGGAUCACUGCAUUGACUGAUCAAAUAUAACUAAUUGGAAUUGUUGGUUUGCUUCUUUUCAAUGGAAGAACUCUCUCCAUUAAACAGAUACACAUGCACACACAAAAUGAUGAUAGAAGACGAGAAUCGAAUAGUUUGUGCUGUUGUCUUUAUGCUUGACCUUGCCCUACCAGCCUGGUACUUGAUCCAAGAAAGUAACGGAAACUUCUGAUCUUUUUGACUGUUGGAACAGUAAUUGAAUUUCUAGUUUUGGUUAUUCAAGAUUUUUUGCAUGCCAGAGGAAUCUACAUUCAGUUGAGUUCUGAUUGAACAGUUUCUGAAAAACUAAAACAGUAUUUUAAUUAUGCUGGACACCUAACUUGAAAGCUUAGCAUAUUACACCAGAUAUCUUUUCCUCUUACAUUUUUGUUUAGCCUGAAUGAGUUCAUGUUUUGUUGGAUUCUUAAAAGCAUUAUUGUUAUAGUAGACUUCAAAUCUUAUGUUUGUUUAGGAUUUGGUUUAACGUGUCUUGUUUUCUCCUCAUCUCCCUACACAUUGCCUUUUCUUUUCCUCUCUCACAGUGCCUCGAGAUUGGCUGGUGGUGGGAGUCGUAUAAAAUAUUUUAUCUUUAAACCUCCAUGUUUGUGAGUGGAGUUUGUUAGCAUUUCUUAUUUGGUGCAAAUUGGAAAAAUAAGCUCUUGUCAAAUUGAUGGUUGAAUAGAAGGCCCGUGGUUUCUCUCUCUCACCUUGAGCUAGAACAGGUUAUUGUAAUUUUAGAAAUAUUAUCACUGACUUUUGGUUAAAAAUGAUGUUAUUCAUAGUGAUGUACUACAUUAGUCAUUCUAUGUGAUAACUUAUUAUUUAAAGGUACUAACGCCUCAAAUAACAAGCUGUCAGAUUGGAUGACUAUUGCACUCACUGACUAUAAAUAUCAUUGCUCUCUUGCUAAUCCAUGUUUUUUUGAGCGUGCCAACAAAAUUUUUGGUUCAUUGGUCUGUUUAUCAAACUUUGUGUUAAUUGGCUGGUCUCACCAGGGGAUAAAUUUUUGAAAGUUUUUUUUAGCUAGCUGGGGAGUUUACACCAUUUGACAUUGAUGUGUUAACUGAAUGUAGUCUGUUCAGCCUUUGUUUGAUCAAAACACUAGUCAUUAUUGAUCUCUUAAUCUAUAUCGUCCAAAAUUAACCACUGUGAAUGAAAUUUUCAUUUGUUUUAUUGCCUUUUAGUCUAAUGAGGAUUUACCGGUUGCACUAGCAUUUAACAAAAAUACAUUCACUGGAUACUAAGACAUGUUAGAUGUUGAUCAGUAGCAGAACUCUGAUGUGUUAGUGUGGAAGGCCAUAAUUGAAUUUGUGAGUAUUCCUCUGUAUAGAACUCUGAUUCAGAGUCUGAUGAUCCUUCGAUUAUGGCUUGGAAGAGUGACUUAUACUGUCUAGUACUGUAGACGCGACUUUUUCCUACUACUGUUGGGUUAUGUGCCUAUAUAGUAUAUUUUGUUAUAAUAAAAUAAUAUUUUAUUAUAAAUAAAAUGUGGUUUUUAUUUAUUUAUUAUUGGGUAUGCGAAUUAAAGUACUCAUGAUUACUUAUAAUAAAAUAAGUUGGGUACUUAUGUUGAGAAGUAGAGUGUGUCACAACUUAUAUUUGAUCAUAAAUAAUUUAUUUACAAUCAAUGUAUAAAAGUUGCACCUUGUACUGAAAAUUUGUAGCAUUGACCGAUUCACUAUUUGAGUUUGUGAUUUGUUUUUAUCACAGAAAUAGUUAAAGGUGACAUUAGUACAUUUAACGUGUAUUGAACGGAUCAUAUGUUGAUUUUAAUUAGGACUGUGCGGUAAAUAUCAUUAAUUAAUUGAAAUCCAAUUUUACACAAGAAAGUGGGCUGCUCUAAUUAAUUUCACCAAGUUUAAUUGGGCCUCAUAAUUAUAGAUAAAAGGGCCGCCCGGGAGAAGGAAUAGAGACAUACAAUUGCCAGCAUGCUGGGAUUUUAUUGGAGAUAUAGAUACAACUACAAGUGGCUGGCGGCAGGGAAGAAUCAGAGAACAAUUGGAAUUUCGGUCACUUGGGAAUUCUAAUCACACAAAAACAAAGGCUGGCUGCUGGAUUAAAAACAUAUAGAGACAGCUGCCUUUAGCAAAGGAGGACAGAAAGAACCAUAGAAAUAGUCGGCGGGAAGAGGAGAAAAAGAGGGCUGCCAAUUGGUUGAAAUUAUGUAUACAAUUACGUGAUUUGCCGGCUGCUUGGGAUAUAUUAUAUACAUCAAUAGGUGGCCAGUUAGGGAGGAACCCAUAGAAAAGACGGCUGCUUUGAAGGAAACAGCCAUACAAAAAGCAGCAGCUGCUGGGGAAAUUGAGAGUAGAAUUGCCGGGAAUUUUUAUAUACCCACAACAGAAACCGAGGCAGACAGAAGGUAGAGAAAGAGAAGAAAGUGAGGGCUGCUUGGUGGAAGCUGGAAUUGAACUUCUCAAACAAUACAGGUGGCGGCUGUUGGAAGAAAAACAAGAAAAGUUGGCAGCUUUGAAGAAUUGGGUGGCUGCAAGACACAUAUACACGCAACACAAGGCUGGAGUUGAGAAAAAAAAUAAAUACACAGAGAAGACGCGCGGAAGAAGACGGCAGAGCGACAGAAAACGCACACGAGACCGUGGAAGACGAUACAAAUUAUGUAACGCACACGAGACCGUGGAAGACGAUACAAAUUAUGUUCCAUCAAUUUCUCGAUGAUGCCUUUUCACUUUUCGUUUUUUAAUUCUAACGUUAUGCAAGGCUAAUUCUUAUGAAGAUGAAACUCUUUAUUAUUAAUUUUUAAUUCGAGACACGUGGUUUAGUUAAUUUUUUACAAUUCUUGAUUAAUCUGGAAUGCUUAAUUUUAGGGAAAAUUACAACA
rnacentral:lncRNA from 1 species